AGCGGACGCUGGCGGCAGGCUUAACACAUGCAAGUCGAGCGGGCAUAGCAAUAUGACAGCGGCAGACGGGUGAGUAACGCGUGGGAACGUACCUUUUGGUUCGGAACAACACAGGGAAACUUGUGCUAAUACCGGAUAAGCCCUUACGGGGAAAGAUUUAUCGCCGAAAGAUCGGCCCGCGUCUGAUUAGUUAGUUGGUGAGGUAAUGGCUCACCAAGGCGACGAUCAGUAGCUGGUCUGAGAGGAUGAUCAGCCUCAUUGGGACUGAGACACGGCCCAAACUCCUACGGGAGGCAGCAGUGGGGAAUAUUGGACAAUGGGCGCAAGCCUGAUCCAGCCAUGCCGCGUGAGUGAUGAAGGCCCUAGGGUUGUAAAGCUCUUUUGUGCGGGAAGAUAAUGACGGUACCGCAAGAAUAAGCCCCGGCUAACUUCGUGCCAGCAGCCGCAGUAA
rnacentral:rRNA from 1 species